CAUGACUCUCACCCCCAAUGUUAGUCGUACCGUAACUUCUUAUAGAAUACACCAUCCUUUCUGGCCCGUACGGUUCUGCUAAGUGGUGCACGGAUCUAAGCUCAGCCUCUGAUAAAUAAUCAUCUGCAACUUGCCCAAUUCUAUAGCCUUGAUCCAACAUUUCACGUGCCUUUCGCCAUCGGUUCACAAAGUAGGCGUUGCAUUUUUCGAAUGUGUAUUCAAUAAUUCCAGCGACGGGC
rnacentral:lncRNA from 1 species